rnacentral:tRNA from 2 species
GCGGGCGUGGCGGAAUGGCAGACGCGCCAGACUUAGGAUCUGGUGCCCUCGGGUGUAUGAGUUCAAGUCUCAUCGCCCGCACCA